rnacentral:rRNA from 1 species
ACGUCUACAUUAGAUACCCGGGUAGUCCCAGCCGUAAACUAUGCGCGUUAGGUGUAUCGGUGACCACGAGUCGCCGAGGUGCCGAAGGGAAACCGUGAAACGUGCCGCCUGGGAAGUACGGUCGCAAGGCUGAAACUUAAAGGAAUUGGCGGGGAGCACCACAACGGGUGGAGCCUGCGGUUUAAUUGGACUCAACGCCGGGAAGCUCACCGGAUAAGACAGCGGAAUGAUUGCCGGGCUGAAGACUCUGCAUGACUAGCUG